rnacentral:lncRNA from 1 species
AAAGAUUAGGUCUAUUCAUUCUUUCUAACUAUUUUGUGUACCUUUUAAAAUUGAGGUUCAAAAGGAAGUUGUAAUGGUUUCAAAACAAUUGAGAUCAGGGAUCUCUAAAUGGGGCUUUGAGGCACCGGGAAACAUACCCUUACCCUAACCUGCAAAUGGGACUCUGAGAAUGUAAAUGCUUAGGUCAAGUUACCAACUAAAUAACAAAGGCUAAGCCCAGAUAUCAGUUCUAUAAUUUGAGGUGCCCCCACCAUUAUUUUCUCUUGAUCCUCAAGUUUCUUACUCUUUUUACUCAUUUCAAUAUUGUCCAGCUGUAGAUGAAUUCUAUUUUUAGAAGUUAGUGUGGUUACAUUUAAACCUAAUUUUCAAACUGACUUGCUUGAGAUCCAAAGCACAUUUUUAAGCGUCAGAGCUCUAGGAACAGAAAAUAGCAUCCCUGGGAUGACAGGAAGGAUGCCCUGUGCCUGGAGGAGGUCUCUCUCCAGGAUUCAGCACACCGUGGAGCUGUGGGAAGUGUGUUAUCUCUGUCAUGAGAGAGAAAGGAGUGGCUGGCUCAGCAAGAUUAGAGCCUCUCUCUGGAUUGUUCCUCAGAACCAGAAGAACUGUGUGGAGUGGCAGCAACUGGAGGAAGCAGAAUGUCCCCGAGCAAGAUUGUCAAGAGAAAAAAGUUACAUGUAUAAAAUCUACAGUAGAAUUGGAAGAUGGAUCUAAUGAGAAUAACACUAAGGAAACACCAUCCUUCAAAAACUAAAAGCUCCUUGAUGAGACAAGAAAAUGAAGUGUCCCAGAAGAGGAAAUGCAGCAAGUGAGACUGCCGAAGUCUUGAGCUGUCUGUCACCUUUCUGCCUGGUUUCUCAGCCCUACACCUGUUACAAAUUAGUAAAUGCCUCAAGGAGAAAACUGACUAGGACUAUUGGCAUUAUCAUGAUGCAGUUUUCUUCAAAAUCAUGGUUGCUCUUCAGAGCCUUCAAACAGCUGUUUUUGUUUUGGGUUUUUUUGUUUGGUUGGUUUUAUGCUGCAUUUAUAGAUGUCUAGGCACAAUGAUGGGCCUGCAUAAGCUACUCUACCAUUGCAAAAAUGCAAAAUCACAUUUCAUAAUGCAAUUUGCUGUUGGCAAAUUCGAUGUGAAUCUCAGGUCAUCAUUAUUGCCAAUCCUGUAAUUUUAAAUCUAUCCCCAUGAAAUUGAAUCUGAUUUGAUGUAAUCUAUCUCCACAAGAAUUUAUAGCUGGAAAGGACUUCAGAAUAUGUCCCUUUCUAAUCCCCCUCACUUUGCAAGUGACACAGCAAUUUAGCGACGAAGCUGAGAUUAGAACUCUGGCCCCCAGACACCCAGUCUAGUAUGUUUUCUUACACAAUGGUGCCUCAUGAAUAAUGCCAAAAGUGUAUCCUCAAAGUUUUGUACCUACAUCCUUGAAGAACUUCUUGGGCAGGCUUAAGCAUUUCUUAGUUGCAAUGGCUUGAUAAUAAAGUUACUCUUAAAGUUAUACAAGGAAUUUCUUCAACUAUACCAAAAAAUUUUAGUCAGACCGUUCUCUCAGCAAAAAAAGAAAAAGAAAAAAAAAAAACUGUCAUCCUUUCAUCUUUCAUCUUUUAUCCCUUAAAAAAAACAAUGUGUCCCAGAUAAACGAAU